CCUUGGAGCGUAGAAUAUGUUCCUUCUUAUCCAAGAUUUGAACAGGAACCUCUUCAUACGUUAAAUCUUCCGCUAUUUCGUCCGGUUCUAACUCAAUAAUGUGGUUCGGGUCUUCCACAUAUUUACGUAACAUGGAUAUGUGAAAAACGUUAUGAACACGAGACAUACUUGGCGGUAAAGCGAGUCUAUAGGCCACAGUUCCUACCCGAUCGAGGAUUAAAAAUG
rnacentral:lncRNA from 1 species